ACAAGACCCUACUACCCUUUGUGUAUCUAUUAUCUAUGCUACUAGGGCAGACUAGGCCCACAGUCAGGAUAUGAAAUGUCGAGCGUCGGCGACACCUAAGUUUACCCCACGUAAGUUUUUUUAAAUUACAAAAAAUCGGCAUUACCGACAUACUAGGCGACAUACAUUUUAGUGAAACGACAACAGAUGAUGCGCCGGCGGUUGCAAUUACUGGCGGAAUUCCCUACUAGUUAUAGCGUAUACUGAGUAAUAGUAGUUUCAUAACUUAUUUUUAAAAUUUUUGUGAGAAGUACUUUUACCUAUCCUGAAAUUCUGGUUAGAAAGGAAAGAGUAUUUUCUGUCCCCAUUAAAAGAUGAAAAAGUACUGUAUCCACUGAAAACAUAUGGGGGAAAAAGCAGAAUUGUUUCAACUACAGAAAGUACCCUCACAAUGGACAAUACAAUAUUUUUGCAGUUUCUGAAACGUUAGCACCCCUUGUAGAAGCAGGAAGCAGUACUAAAUUAGGUAAAGAACAAUUUCUUUGUUCAUACAAAUAUACCUGUCUUCAUCAUCAUCAUCAUCA